UGGGGAAUCUUGGACAAUGGGCGCAAGCCUGAUCCAGCCAUGCCGCGUGAAGGAUGAAGUAUUUCGGUAUGUAAACUUCGAAAGAAUAGGAAGAAUAAAUGACGGUACUAUUUAUAAGGUCCGGCUAACUACGUGCCAGCAGCCGCGGUAAUACGUAGGGACCAAGCGUUGUUCGGAUUUACUGGGCGUAAAGGGCGCGUAGGCGGCAAUUCAAGUCAUCUGUGAAAUCUCCGGGCUUAACUCGGAACGGUCAGAUGAUACUGCUUUGCUAGAGUGCAGAAGGGGCAAUCGGAAUUCUUGGUGUAGCGGUGAAAUGCGUAGAUAUCAAGAGGAACACCUGAGGUGAAGACGGGUUGCUGGGCUGACACUGACGCUGAGGCGCGAAAGCCAGGGGAGCAAACGGGAUUAGAUACCCGUGUAGUCCCUGAGCGGGCUGGCAAGGCGCAU
rnacentral:rRNA from 1 species